UGCGGGAUAGCGCAGUCCGGUAGCGCGCCUGGCUCAUAACCAGGAGGUCGUUGGUUCAAAUCCAACUUCCGCAUCCA
rnacentral:tRNA from 1 species